GAUGAACGCUAGCUACAGGCUUAACACAUGCAAGUCGCGGGGCAGCAUGGGGGUUGCUUGCACUCCCCGAUGGCGACCGGCGCACGGGUGAGUAACGCGUAUCCAACCUGCCCUUCACCACGGGAUAACCCGGCGAAAGUCGGACUAAUACCGUAUGUUGUCCAUUGACGGCAUCCGAUUUGGACGAAAGGUUUGGCGGUGAGGGAUGGGGAUGCGUCCGAUUAGCUGGACGGCGGGGUGACGGCCCACCGUGGCGACGAUCGGUAGGGGUUCUGAGAGGAAGGUCCCCCACACUGGAACUGAGACACGGUCCAGACUCCUACGGGAGGCAGCAGUGAGGAAUAUUGGUCAAUGGGCGUAAGCCUGAACCAGCCAAGUAGCGUGCAGGAUGACGGCCCUAUGGGUUGUAAACUGCUUUUAUGCGGGGAUAAAGUGGCCCACGUGUGGGUUUUUGCAGGUACCGCAUGAAUAAGGACCGGCUAAUUCCGUG
rnacentral:rRNA from 1 species